rnacentral:miRNA from 1 species
AAUGACAGAACAAGUGCGCGAG